rnacentral:rRNA from 1 species
CUUUCUAUUAGCUUUCAGUGAGAUUACACAUGCAAGUAUCCACAGCCCUGUGAGAAUGCCCUCAACCAAAAGAUNNNNGAGGAGCGAGUAUCAAGCACGCAUCAUGCAGCUCAAAACACUUUGCUUAGCCACGCCCCCACGGGAAACAGCAGUGACAAACUUUUAGCAAUGAACGAAANGUUUAACUAAGCCACACUGACCACCAGAGUCGGUCAAUUUCGUGCCAGCCACCGCGGUCAUACGAUUGACUCGAGUUAAUAGAGCCCGGCGUAAAGGGUGUUUAAGACUUAAUUCCAAGUACAAUAAAGCUAACCUGUAACUAAGUCGUAAAAAACCACAGUUACAGUGAAAUAAACUACGAAAGUGGCUUUAAUACUCUGAAUACACUAUAGCUAAGGCACAAACUGGGAUUAGAUACCCCACUAUGCUUAGCCCUAAACCUCAGUAACUCAACCAACAAACUUAUUCGCCAGAAUACUACAAGCAACAGCUUGAAACUCAAAGGACCUGGCGGUGCUUUACAUCCGUCUAGAGGAGCCUGUUCUAUAAUCGAUACACCCCGAUAAACCUCACCACCUCUUGCCAUCAGCCUGUAUACCGCCAUCUUCAGCAAACUCCCUAAUGACAGCAAAGUAAGCGGAAGUAUCAUCAUAAAAACGUUAGGUCAAGGUGCAGCCAAUGACGUGGGAAGAAAUGGGCUACAUUUUCUGAAUCAGAAAAUCAUACGAUANACCCUUAUGAAACU